UUAUGGCUCAGGAUGAACGCUGGCGGCGUGCUUAACACAUGCAAGUCGAACGAGCUUACUUUCACGAUCCCCUCGGGGGUGACGAGUGUAAGCGAGUGGCGGACGGGUGAGUAACGCGUGGGCAACCUGCCCCAUACAGGGAGAUAACAGUUGGAAACGACUGACAAUACCGCAUAAGCGCACAGUAUCGCAUGGUACGGUGUGAAAAAACUCCGGUGGUAUGGGAUGGGCCCGCGUCUGAUUAGCUAGUUGGUGAGGUAACGGCCCACCAAGGCGACGAUCAGUAGCCGACCUGAGAGGGUGACCGGCCACAUUGGGACUGAGACACGGCCCAAACUCCUACGGGAGGCAGCAGUGGGGAAUAUUGCACAAUGGGGGAAACCCUGAUGCAGCGAACCGCCGCGUGAGUGAUGAAGUAUUUCGGUAUGUAAAGCUCUAUCAGCAGGGAAGAACAAUGACGGUACCUGACUAAGAAGCCCCGGCUAACUACGUGCCAGCCGCUGC
rnacentral:rRNA from 1 species